AAUAGAUACCCUGGUAGUCCAUGCCGUAAACGUUGGGCACUAGGUGUGGGACUCACUCAACGGGUUCCGUGCCGUAGCUAACGCAUUAAGUGCCCCGCCUGGGGAGUACGGCCGCAAGGCUAAAACUCAAAGGAAGUUGACGGGGGCCCGCACAAGCAGCGGAGCAUGUUGCUUAAUUCGAGGCAACGCGAAGAACCUUACCUGGGUUUGACAUGUACGGAAAGCCGCAGAGAUGCGGUGUCCUUUGGGCCGUACACAGGUGGUGCAUGGUUGUCGUCAGCUCGUGUCGUGAGAUGUUGGGUUAAGUCCCGCAACGAGCGCAACCCUUGUCCCUAUGUUGCCAGCGGGUAAUGCCGGGGACUCGUAGGAGACUGCCGGGGGACAACUCGGAGGAAGGUGGGGAUGACGGUCAAAUCAUCAUGCCCCUUAUGUCCAGGGCUGCAAACAUGCUACAAUGGCCAGUACAAAGGGCUGCUAUACCGCGAGGUUGAGCGAAUCCCAUAAAGCUGGUCUCAGUUCGGAUUGGAGUCUGCAACG
rnacentral:rRNA from 1 species